GGGGCGUUUGCCCUAGACGCCCCCGAAUCGUUCCGGGGUCGAUCCAGGCGCGCUCUACGGUCGAUUUGGAGGCGAUCGGUGUAUGUACCUCGCCGCCGCCGGACCCCUAUGGACCCUCCAAAAUCGAGUGGUCCCAGGGGGGCCGUUUUCUAGAAAUGGACCCUCUGGCCAAACGGACCCUCUGGCAGGACGGCCCCUCGGGCCAAAUGGUCCCUCUGGACCAGACGGACCCUCUGGGCCAUUUUCACAAAAUGGACCCUCUGGCCGAGGGGCCACGGCCCCCCUAGGGGGGCCAUUUGGGGCCGAAAAAAAAAAGUGCUCCAAAUCGCUCCGGGGUCGAUCCAGGCGCGCUCUACGGUCGAUUUGGAGGCGAUCGGUGUAUGUACCUCGCCGCCGCCGGACCCCUAUGGACCCUCCAAAAUCGAGUGGUCCCAGGGGGGCCGUUUUCUAGAAAUGGACCCUCUGGCCAAACGGACCCUCUGGCAGGACGGCCCCUCGGGCCAAAUGGUCCCUCUGGACCAGACGGACCCUCUGGGCCAUUUUCACAAAAUGGACCCUCUGGCCGAGGGGCCACGGCCCCCCUAGGGGGGCCAUUUGGGGCCGAAAAAAAAAAGUGCUCCAAAUCGCUCCGGGGUCGAUCCAGGCGCGCUCUACGGUCGAUUUGGAGGCGAUCGGUGUAUGUACCUCGCCGCCGCCGGACCCCUAUGGACCCUCCAAAAUCGAGUGGUCCC
rnacentral:misc_RNA from 1 species